UCGGAUUCUGGGCGUAAGCGCACGCAGGCGGUCUGUCAAGUCGGAUGUGAAAUCCCCGGGCUCAACCUGGGAACUGCAUUCGAAACUGGCAGGCUAGAGUCUUGUAGAGGGGGGUAGAAUUCCAGGUGUAGCGGUGAAAUGCGUAGAGAUCUGGAGGAAUACCGGUGGCGAAGGCGGCCCCCUGGACAAAGACUGACGCUCAGGUGCGAAAGCGUGGGGAGCAAACAGGAUUAGAUACCCUGGUAGUCCACGCCGUAAACGAUGUCGACUUGGAGGUUGUGCCCUUGAGGCGUGGCUUCCGGAGCUAACGCGUUAAGUCGACCGCCUGGGGAGUACGGCCGCAAGGUUAAAACUCAAAUGAAUUGACGGGGGCCCGCACAAGCGGUGGAGCAUGUGGUUUAAUUCGAUGCAACGCGAAGAACCUUACCUACUCUUGACAUCCAGAGAACUUUCCAGAGAUGGAUUGGUGCCUUCGGGAACUCUGAGACAGGUGCUGCAUGGCUGUCGUCAGCUCGUGUUGUGAAAUGUUGGGUUAAGUCCCGGCACGAGCGCAACCCUUAUCCUUUGUU
rnacentral:rRNA from 1 species